rnacentral:lncRNA from 1 species
GGGGGUUUGUCCUCCGAGCUGGGGUUGUGCCCGCCGCAGGGGUCCUGAGCACCCCGCUCCCAGGGUUUGAGCACUGGUGCUAUGGGCUGCGGCUGAGGGAGAUGGGAUGGUUCGGUCUGGAGAGGAGGAGGCUCGGGGGAGAGCUCGUUGUGCUCUGCACUCUCUGAAAGGAGGCUGUGGCGAAGUGGGGGUUGGGCUUUUUUUCUCAGGUAACAGCGAUAGGAUGAGAGGGAACGGCCUCAAGUUGUGCCAGGGGAGGUUCAGGUUGGACAUUGGGAAAAAUUCUUCUCCCAAAGUGGUGAUGCAUUGGCAUCAGCAAGGAUGCCCAGUGAGGUGAUGGAGUGACUGGCCCUGGAUGUGUUCAAGAACUGUGUAGAUGUGUCACUGAGGGAUGUGGUCAGUGGGCGCUAUUGGUGGCAGGUGGAUGGUUGAACUAGAUGAUCUUCGUGGUCUUUUCCAACCUUACUGAUUCAAUGACUCACAUCGGCCUUUCUCUCUUACCAGUGGGAAGUAAGGAGGAAGAAUGCUUAGAAGAAAGGCUGAUGGCCUGUUUCCACCAGCAGUGGAGGAAAGAGUGAGGCAGGACUGGGAAGGAUAAAGCUAUUGCUGCCAGCUGGGAGCCAACAGACAGGCUGAGUUUCACGAGCAGCACUGCACCAACUGACAGAUGUCAUGCCCAGGCUGGCCUGCUUUAUGUAAUUUCUGCUCAGCAAUGUCUAGACAUACGUGGGGAUAGAGGCGUGACUGUGUUUAGAAAUGGGACCUGCUGAGUGGGAGUCCCAUGUGGUUAAUGCAAAGGCAUGAACUCCCAAGAGCUUUGGUAGAAGAUGACGACUUUGAGAAGAAAUUCAGUCUGUGGAAGAUGCUGGAAAUGUUUGGUUUCCUUUCUGAUGAGAGCUUGCUUUUCUAUCCUGUUAAAACAUGAACCUCGAGGAGAAGACUUUACAGCAAGGGAGGGAGUUGGUUUACCUUUUCCCCCUGCUGAGCUGUUCUUCCAGUUUAUACCUGCUCAGUGUCAUUAUAGACUUGAGCUCUCACUACCAGUAACGCUUUUGGCAGAAGAGCCUGGUUCUGGCUGGAUAGAACUAGGAAGUACUUCUGCUACUGCUUCUGGGAAUGGCAGAUUUCUGUAUUUAUGGAUGCCUAUUACAAGAACAUCCCCAUUUGUGGGGAAUGCUCUUCAUGUACUGCUUAGAAAUGCACGUGAAACUCAGGUUGCCCAUUCUUUUGGGCUUUCUGACGACUUCCGUGCAGCACCCAGGUGUAUUAUAAGGCACUCAGAAUAAGGGAGAAAUUGCAAGAAAUGGUUCAGAGAAUAAAUAAGCAAAGGAGAUGAAUCUGGCAAAAUCAUUGGAUUUGGGUGAGUAGGGAUUUGUGGGAAUGAAUGCACUUUCUGUGUAAGAAAUGAAAUGUAGACACACAGAAGCGAACUACCUUCCCAAGGAGUUUCUGCAGAAGUAAUGCAUCUUCUGAACAAAGACCAGGUGGGAAAUGAAGUGUGAUGUAUAAAAGAGCAGUGCUGUAUGAGUGCACCCCUUCCCAUGCCUCAAAACUAAAAACUCAGGCCACUAGCAGAGAUAUAAAUGUAAGGAG